AGGAUGCUACCUGAUAAUACUCUAGGAUAGUGGACGUACUCGCAGAAUAAGCACCGGCUAACUCUGUGCCAGCAGCCGCGGUAAUACAGAGGGUGCGAGCGUAAUCGGAUUUACUGGGCGUAAAGCGUGCGUAGGCGGCUGAUUAAGUCGGAUGUGAAAUCCCUGAGCUUAACUUAGGAAUUGCAUUCGAUACUGGUCAGCUAGAGUAUGGGAGAGGAUGGUAGAAUUCCAGGUGUAGCGGUGAAAUGCGUAGAGAUCUGGAGGAAUACCGAUGGCGAAGGCAGCCAUCUGGCCUAAUACUGACGCUGAGGUACGAAAGCAUGGGGAGCAAACAGGAUUAGAUACCCUGGUAGUCCAUGCCGUAAACGAUGUCUACUAGCCGUUGGGGCCUUUGAGGCUUUAGUGGCGCAGCUAACGCGAUAAGUAGACCGCCUGGGGAGUACGGUCGCAAGACUAAAACUCAAAUGAAUUGACGGGGGCCCGCACAAGCGGUGGAGCAUGUGGUUUAAUUCGAUGCAACGCGAAGAACCUUACCUGGCCUUGACAUACUAGAAACUUUCCAGAGAUGGAUCGGGUGCUUCGGGAAUCUAGAUACCGGUGCUGCUUGGGUGUCGUCAGCUCGUGUCGCGAGGAUGUGGGUUAAAGUCCCGCAACGAGCGGCAAC
rnacentral:rRNA from 1 species